rnacentral:rRNA from 1 species
GGGAUGUUGGGUUAAGUCCCGUAACGAGCGCAACCCUUGUCCUUAGUUACCAGCACGUUAUGGUGGGCACUCUAAGGAGACUGCCGGUGACAAACCGGAGGAAGGUGGGGAUGACGUCAAGUCAUCAUGGCCCUUACGGCCUGGGCUACACACGUGCUACAAUGGUCGGUACAAAGGGUUGCCAAGCCGCGAGGUGGAGCUAAUCCCAUAAAACCGAUCGUAGUCCGGAUCGCAGUCCGCAACUCGACUGCGUGAAGUCGGAAUCGCUAGUAAUCGUGAAUCAGAAUGUCACGGUGAAUACGUUCCCGGGCCUU